rnacentral:lncRNA from 1 species
CAAAAGGAAAGCUUUGCAAUAAUAGCUAUCAUAAGUUUUUUAAAUCAGUGAUUCUGAUUUGCUUAGGAGCCUCCAGAGGACUUUGUAGUAUUAUAAGUUGUUCAUUUGUCUAUCUGAGAUUGUAUAUCUGUAGCAGCAACAGCUCAGGUUUGACAUCAGGCUAAGUUCUGAAAAAGGAAAAUACAAUCAGAAAUGUUCUUUCUAGAAAGUGGUAUAUUGGUGUAACUCAAGAGAAUUUUGCAAUGAUUUUAAAUAUCUUCUCUAGAAGUUCUGUGUUGGUAUAACUCUAGAAAACUUUCUAAUGCCUUCAAAUAGUUGUCAGGAUGUCAGGUCUAAAAGAAACUGGGGAAAUGGCUAACUGUGGUGUUUAUUAGUAUACCAAAGAGCAUGCUUGCCUCCAAGCCCUCAGCCUAGAAAGCACCUAUUACAGAAUCCAUGCUGGUAUCCUAGCUCGCUCUUCUCAGCUUUCCUCACCCAAUCCUUACCUUCAAGCUCUUCAAUUCAUGGGCUUCCCUUCCUCCAGCUUUUCAUUCUGCCGGCCAUACUUUUUCUCCCUACUCUGGACGCCUCUAGAUGACUCCAGCUGUGCUCUCCUUCGUAAUCUACACACCCUCCUCAACCAUACCCUGGACCAGUCAUGUCCUCAUCUCAGACACGACUUUUCUGCAUUAAUUCUCUCUCUCGGGCAGAAACCUACGUGUUCCUCUUCCAGAGAGCUGGUGAAGCCAAAGGCAUUCUCAUAAUGAUGCGCUACACCGACUGACAUUUACCAACUGUGUCAAAGCUACAGGAGCCAGGUAGACACUGCUGGAACUUUAACGGGAAUCAAACAAGUCUAUAAGAAGCACUGAGCUGUGCCACUACCCAAUCAGUGUUCUUCCAGAGCACACAAACGAAAGUGGGAGGAGCCUUCCAAUGAGAACUGUUGUGUGAUUAAUCAAUGAGGCUGACUAAAGCACACACUUAUAAUCCCAAUACUCAGAAAGACAGAGGAAGAAGGAUAUCAGCGCAAGGCCAACAAGGCUUCAAAGCAAGUACCAACCCAGUAUGGACCAUGAGACCCUAUUUCAGAAACAAAUAAUAAAAGCUUGAUGAAGCUGCAAAAAUUACUCAUUUUAUCAAUCCCUAUUCUUGUAUACUGAACUAUACACAAAGGCACUUGUGUGGCCAGUGGGUGCGGUCAGAAAGGAGUACAGGCUCACGUGACUCAGCUACAAGCUGAGACAGCUGCUGCUAUUAGGAAAACAAUGGAAGCCAGCAGUAUGUAGAUUUAGGGAGCUGACAAAUCCUGAAAAUGAAUAAAAUGAGCUGGGUACUUCCAGAAACACGAUACUUCUUGACCAUGAAAAGGAAAAAGGCUGGGUUUUUAUGUUAAAAUUUGAAUUU